UCUCAUUCCAGAGCCUGUGCUGGUAACUGUUACACUUAAAAGCUGCUUGGAUCUGCUAAAUUUCCGUUUCUUGCCAGUGAACAGUGGCUUUUUUUCCUGCCCUGAGCAGUCAUCGUUAAUCCUUCAGGGCAGCUGAGAAGUAUCUUAAUCAGGACCUCUGACCUUGUCAUUCAUUCUUUUACUUACUGUUCAGUUAGCUGCAGGCACCCCAAGGAAUGGAAAUGGAGCUGCCUAGGACUUCAGAGGAGAGACCAAGCCAGAGACACCACCCAAAGACCUCUCGGAAUGUUUUUGUUCCGGGAGUUAUGGUACAAUCAAAUGAAUUCAUCUUCGCAGUGAAACCAAUGGAUGAAAAGGUACUUCCUCGUAUCCUGGAGUUAAGGCAAUACUCAGGGUUCACCCACCUGGAAGCCAUAAUGACCUGGGGAUGGGGAGGCCUGGUCACUUAAGACAUGGCAUAUGCUGUCUGGCUGAUGAAAAUCCCCAGUACUCCUGACUGUUACCCAUGACUUGCUGCCUUCCAGGUAUGUGAAUUCUUGGGUCCUAUGUAGCAUAUCCAGUUCUGCAAAAUAUACGUGCAUAUGCAUGAAAUGUUACCAUAAGUUUUCUCAGAAUAGUGGGAUAAUGGGUGAUUUUCAUUUUCUUCUAGUUUU
rnacentral:lncRNA from 1 species